UUCAUGUGUGACCUUGACAAUCAAACUCGAUGGAUCAUCAUUACAAAGUGUAAUCCUAUCAAAUAAUAUCUGCUCAAGGAUCACAGAGGCGUGGAAAAAAAGAUUAUAUGAUGGCUGGAAAUCUGAGAUGGAAACAAACUGCUGGAGAACAACAGUGGGUCCUGCAGCAAAUGUGCUUCGUCAACUGACAUAUCUCCUCCUGGUUCUCAGAACUUCUAGUUAUUGUCAAGAACUUACAAAGAUAAU